rnacentral:rRNA from 1 species
UACGGGGGGGGUAAGCGUUGUUCGGAAUUACUGGGCGUAAAGGGCUCGUAGGCGGCCAACUAAGUCAGACGUGAAAUCCCUCAGCUUAACUGGGGAACUGCGUCUGAUACUGGAUGGCUUGGAUUCGGGAGAGGAAUGCGGAAUUCCAGGUGUAGCGGUGAAAUGCGUAGAUAUCUGGAGGAACACCGGUGGCGAAGGCGGCAUCCUGGACCAACACUGACGCUGAGGAGCGAAAGCGUGGGGAGCGAACAGG